AACGAACGCUGGCGGCAUGCCUAACACAUGCAAGUCGAACGAGACCUUCGGGUCUAGUGGCGCACGGGUGCGUAACGCGUGGGGAUCUGCCCUCUGGUACGGAAUAACUCAGGGAAACUUGAGCUAAUACCGUAUAAUGACUUCGGUCCAAAGAUUUAUCGCCUGAGGAUGAGCCCGCGUCGGAUUAGCUAGUUGGUGAGGUAAAAGCUCACCAAGGCGACGAUCCGUAGCUGGUCUGAGAGGAUGAUCAGCUACACUGGGACUGAGACACGGACCAGACUCCUACGGGAGGCAGCAGUGGGGAAUAUUGGACAAUGGGCGAAAGCCUGAUCCAGCAAUGCUGCGUGAGUGAUGAAGGCCUUAGGGUUGUAAAGCUCUUUUACCCGGGAUGAUAAUGACAGUACCGGGAGAAUAAGCCCCGGCUAACUCCGUGCCAGCAGCCGCCGUAACAC
rnacentral:rRNA from 1 species